CUUGUAUAUUUUCUGAAAAUCAUGCAGCAGACCUUGAGAAAAUUAUGAGGACUGGUCUGAAAAUCUGAUUGCAUUAUCUACUGUACUUGUAAAUUUGAAAUGGACAGGAAAGUCAAUGAUAUAGAGAGGAGAGGAGACAAAUAAGAGUUAAUCGAGAAAAAUAAGAGUUAAUCUAUUUCCCUAAUAGAAUUUGACCACUUAUAAACAAGUUCUUGAAUCCUUAACAAGACUGAUUAAUUAUACUACUGACCUUGCCAUGAUUUGCCCCG
rnacentral:lncRNA from 1 species